CCUGGCUGGCUGGUGGUGCGGAGCCCACGGGUGGGGCCGGGCGCUACCGAAAGGCUGGGCCUGAGUCCCCCGCUGCCCUCUGUUUGGAGGACUGAGGGUUAUCCUGCUAUCACCGCCUCCGAGGUACCGGCUGGACUAGGGGCUGGUGGGGUCUGCACCUGUCAGUAGGGACCGGACGCUGCCCUCCGCAGAGGGUGGCUGUUGUAACUUACCUCUCCCAGACGUUUCCUCUUUCUGCUUCAAAACUGGCCUGUCACCCUCACAUGCGGAGCCACUGAACGGAUUGUCGAGAAUAUUCACCUUAACAAGGCCCUUUCUCUUCCUAAAGAUGCUCACGACGUUCUUUAGCAAAUUCAACCCAACCUCGCGUACAAAAUGUCACUUCCCUGCCUGAAGUCAUAAUAUGGUCUAAGACCAUUUUAUUAUUUGUAAGGCUAAUUUAGAAAAUCUUUAGAAGUUAAUUUAUUAUUUUAAUUCCUGAAGGGACGGUAGUUUUGUGACUAGCCAGUGGGCCAGAUUUGGAGUCAGCCUAAUUCCAAAUCUGAGCUGUGCCUCUUAUUACAUCUAUACCCUUGUGCAGUUUACUUGAUUUGAGCUUUUGUUUCUUAGCUGUGAAACAGACAUUCAUAUCUAAGUUAUUAUCAAGAUUUUUAAGGGCUUACAUUUUAUUCAUUCAUUCAUUUAUUUAUAUUCUCCAGUUAAUAUACAGUGUAGUCUUGGCUUCAGGAGUAAAACCCAGUGAUUCAUUUCUUGAGAAAGUGCUUAGUAGGAAUUCACAGUAACCAUUUAUAAUUCUGAUUUUCCAAAUUUAAGACUUACUCAGUUCCUCAGACCUCUCCUCUUAAUUCUGCUCUAAAUUUUCCUAGGAAACCUUUUAGACUUCUGGAUUUUAGGGUUUUCCUCUUACACAGGUGUUAGUGAAUCUUCAAGCAACAUGUAGGGAAUUAAGCAGCAAAAUCAGUAACUUCCGGAGGUUUGAAUAAUUGGUGAAAAGUUAUCUCCCCAUUAUCCACUGCUCCAACUUGCCUAGCCCAGACUAACUGUAUGUCUAAAAUAUUUUAAUUGAGGGGUGCUUGGGUGGCUCAGUUGAUUAAGCAUCCAACUUCAGCUCAGGUCAUGAUUUCAGGGUUCGUGAGUUUGAACACACCCCCCCCCCCCACCUCCCUGGGCUCUGUAGUGACAGCUCAAAGCCUGAAGCCUGCUUCAGAUUGUGUCUCCCUCUCUCUCUGCCCCUCUGUCCAACCCCCUCCUCAAAAAAAUAAUAAACACUAAAAAAAAAAAAUAAAAUAUUUUAAUUGUAGGCUUAGUACAAGAGUUUUGAGAUCUAACAGCAUAGUCUGUGCCCCCUUCUCUACUGUGAGAUAUAUAUGCAUUCGGAGAUCUUUUAAAUUCUAAGAUAAAAUUUGACUCUUGUAAAAACUCUCUGUACAAAUGAUUUAUUCUGUAAAAGUUUGGAAACUACUUUCUCCCUUCAUAUGAGCUACUUUGCAUAUGCCAAAAUUCGAUCUCCAGUAAUCUUCAUUUGUCUUAUUUUAAUAAAUUAAAAAUAACUUUGGCAA